rnacentral:lncRNA from 1 species
GCAAAAGCUGUUCGGAGGGAUUCCUCAGUGCUGGAAGGUGCUAACUUGCCUCUUGUGUAGUCCCAGAUUCACAGAGAAAAUUAGAUUCUCCCACACUAAGCAAAGGCGUUAGCUCUAUCAACUAAGGUGCGGGGCAGUCUCUCUCUUCUCCCUGGCUCCUUUUCAAAUAGGUCAGCAGUAAAAGUUAUACACAUGAACAAAGAAUUAAACGACAGCUAAUUCACACUGCACUGGAAUAGUCAGUAAAUUGUAGAGGCUGCCUGAUUUCCUUCAUAUUCACGUGAAGAUAAUAGAGGAAUGUAAGAGAUAAUUCGAAAUAAUAGAGAAAAUAGUUUUCUGUAGCUUUGAAACUGGCUGCCCAUCACUGAAGAAGAGAAUAAAGUCUGGGGAUGUUUAUGCACACACAAACUGAAAUAGAUGACCCUAGUCAAAGAUAGCAAACUAAACCACAAAGAAACAGAAAAAGGGAUAAAGCAGGAAUCAAUAUGUAACAGAGGAAAAAAGAAAAGUUUGGAUUUAAAUCUAAGCUGCUAAAUACUGGCUGAGCAGGUUCAUUGUUCUCUUGAAAAAGAAAUCGCUACUUCAGCAUUUAAAGUGAGAGAAUAUAGUCAAGAAAGCCCCUUUAGGCUUUGACUAUUUUCACACUAUCCCAUUAAAAUGUACCGUUGCAUACUAAUGAAAGUAAACAUGAAGGAGGGGGAAAGAGGAGGCGAUGGGGCAACGAGGAGGAUUGAGAGACAGACAGAGAGAAAGAGAGAGGUAGAGAGAAGGAAAGAAGGACCAACCUCUAGGUUAAUAACCACUGUUUUCCUUUUUCAGAAAGAGUUUAGAAUUUUGAGUUUCUGAAAAGCGGAGUACUCAAACCACUAAAGAAUUCACUGUUGUUUUUUUCUAAUUUUAGUAACAGUAGUAAUCACAAGAAAUCUCCUAGUGACAGUUGAAAUAGGAACUAAGAAGAUGAGAGAAAAAGAGGAAGAAAACCAACAACAAAUGGAAAACAAAGCCAAAACAAACAUGCUAACUUGGUCCAUCAAGACAUGGAAGUAUGUAAUGAAAAGGAAUCCUUCUACAAUAAGAAAAGUGUCAUUUACAUUUUUUCCCCGAUUCUCUGAGGACAUCAGACUUGGAGUGACAAAGAGGCUUGGAGUGAACCAGAAUGAGAGCUUGACAGGAAGAGGAACAUGUGUCCUGUCUACCUAAAGAAACCCCAAACCCAAACGAAAGAAACAGAAAGUUUGUA